UGUGGGAAUCUGCCUUUUGGUUCGGAACAACACGGGGAAACUUGUGCUAAUACCGGAUAAGUCCUCACAGAGAAAGAUUUAUCGCCGAAAGAUGAGCCCGCACUAGAUUAGCUUGUUGGUAAGGUAAAAGCUUACCAAGGCGACGAUCCAUAGCUGGUCUGAGAGGACGAUCAGCCACACUGGAACUGAGACACGGCCCAGACUCCUACGGGAGGCAGCAGUGGGGAAUUUUCCGCAAUGGGCGAAAGCCUGACGGAGCAACGCCGCGUGAGGGAUGAAGGCCUCUGGGCUGUAAACCUCUUUUAUCAAGGAAGAAGAUCUGACGGUACUUGAUGAAUAAGCCACGGCUAAUUCCGUGCCAGCAGCCGCGGUGAUACGGGAGUGGCAAGCGUUAUCCGGAAUUAUUGGGCGUAAAGCGUCCGCAGGCGGUCUUUUAAGCCUGCUGUUAAAGCGUGGAGCUUAACUCCAUUUCGGCAGUGGAAACUGGAAGACUAGAGUGUGGUAGGGGCA
rnacentral:rRNA from 1 species